CCCCCCUCGCUCCCGCGCUCCGUGCGGCCGGACAUAGGCUGCAGGGACAGGGUCGCUGGCCCGUUUGUCCUCACUGCCUCCGGCCCAGGGCCACGCGGCCACCCUCGUUCCCCACCGUUACGUCCAACGCACAAAACGUUCCGAGGGAGAUUUUGACGAGUCGCCAAAUUCUGGAUGACACAGGGGUUGUGAGAUAAUCCAGAGUUUCCCUGGGAACCAGGACGUGUGGCUUUUGUUUUUGCUUUUCAUCUUCUACCUGGGAGCGGGGUUGGGGUCCAGCAAAGGAGCCUGCACAGAGGGUCGGGCAUGACCGGGGAGUGUCGGCUCCCGGGAGGGGGCGCUGGCCCUGGGCGCCCGCCCUUGCGAGCUCCGCCCAGAGCCCACGUGGCCCUCGGGAGGAGCUGCUCGUUCCGGCCCGCCACCCCGCCCGCAGCCCCUCUGCUCCAGAGCACCUGCAGGGGUGGGCUCAAGGGCGAGGAUGUGGGUCCUGCCAGCCGGGCUCCUCACAGUGUCUACUAACGACCAGCAUCUGCUAAUGUAAAUACUAAGGUGCUUCUCUGCAGCCAUUCAGUCACUGUGAUAGCAGCUCCUCGGCUUGUCCCCUUGCUUGGACUAUUUCUUCAUCGAGAUCCAAGUUUGGCAACCCAAGCCCUGUCAGCCCCUCUUGAAUCAGUGGACAACAAGGUCUCUAAAGUAAGGGUCAGAUGUUUGGACAUUUGUUAUCUAUUAAAUACAACAGAGCAC